UGGGGAAUAUUGCACAAUGGGCGAAAGCCUGAUGCAGCGACGCCGCGUGAGGGAUGACGGCCUUCGGGUUGUAAACCUCUUUCAGCAGGGACGAAGCGCAAGUGACGGUACCUGCAGAAGAAGCACCGGCUAACUACGUGCCAGCAGCCGCGGUAAUACGUAGGGUGCAAGCGUUGUCCGGAAUUACUGGGCGUAAAGAGUUCGUAGGCGGUUUGUCGCGUCGUUUGUGAAAACCAGCAGCUCAACUGCUGGCUUGCAGGCGAUACGGGCAGACUUGAGUACUGCAGGGGAGACUGGAAUUCCUGGUGUAGCGGUGAAAUGCGCAGAUAUCAGGGGGAACACCGGUGGCGAAGGCGGGUCUCUGGGCAGUAACUGACGCUGAGGAACGAAAGCGUGGGUAGCGAACAGG
rnacentral:rRNA from 1 species